GAGCACCUCGUCCCUCUAUCUAAGCAGCAACUAGUGGACUACGCCGACAUCGCCUUGAACCACACAUCUAGGAGGGCAUUGGAGUGGAUUGCCGAGAAUGAUGGGAUCACCAUGCAACUAUCCAUAGGCAAGGAAUGCAACUGUGAUGCCUCCAAGCUCGCCCACCACACCACAUCGAUCACAAGUUACAAGCAGAGCGACAACAGCAGUGAGCUCGCGCUGAUGGUAGCGGUGGCACAUCGGCCCGUCGUGGUGGAUCCGACAUCGUUCAUAUCAUACAAGGUCGGCUCUAUUUACGACAAUCCAUGCUUAACGGAGAAAACCAUUGUCUAA
rnacentral:lncRNA from 1 species